AUUGAACGCUGGCGGCAUGCCUUACACAUGCAAGUCGAACGGCAGCACGGGUGCUUGCCCCUGGUGGCGAGUGGCGAAAGGGUGAGUAAUACAUCGGAACAUGUCCUGUAGUGGGGGAUAGACCGGCGAAAGCCGGAUUAAUACCGCAAACGAUCUACGGAUGAAAGCGGGGGACCUUCGGGCCUCGCGCUAUCGGGUUGGCCGAUGGCUGAUUAGCUCGUUGGUGGGGUAAAGGCCUACCAAGGCGACGAUCAGUAGAUGGUCUGAGAGGGCGACCAGCCACACUGGGACUGAGACACGGCCCAGACUCCUACGGGAGGCAGCAGUGGGGAAUUUUGGACAAUGGGCGAAAGCCUGAUCCAGCAAUGCCGCGUGUGUGAAGAAGGCCUUCGGGUUGUAAAGCACUUUUGUCCGGAAAGAAAUCCUUGGCUCUAAUACAGUCGGGGGAUGACGGUACCGGAAGAAUAAGCACCGGCUAACUACGUG
rnacentral:rRNA from 1 species